CGCUGCCUCUGCGCUGGGUCCCCGCAUCCAGCACUGGCCGCAGGGACAGCGGCCCCUCCUCUCCCCCGGCAGGUGUCAAGUGCCUCCCCCCGGCAGCCCGCGUAGCCCCCGGCGGCCUUUACCCUGCAGUUCUCUCGACCUCCACCAGAGUCCACUGCACUCUGCCUGCCUCAGCACUGGGGCUGGGGACAGCAGCGCCGGCCCAUCCGCACCGCAACCCCACGCCACCCCGCCACCUUCUCCAGGUACCGCCGCCCGGUGGAAGACAGCUCACUCAACAAGGCCAAGGUCGGAGUUCCAGGCCCAUCCAGAUCGUCCUGGAGGGUCGAGCUGCUCUACAGGAUGUACCCCCUUUAAGGGAAUGAAAAAACUGAGGCUUAAAGCCACACACAGCUGGGAAGUGGCAGAUCCAGGAUUCAAAGCCUGAUUCAUCUGACUUUGAAAUUACCACACCACACCUUUAAAACAUUAUAGCUGUUCUUAACAAGCUGAAAUUCUCAAGGUCAAGAUGGGCAUGUGUAAGUUUCUUUUCAGUAGGACUAUUUGUGAUGAAAUCAUUGGGAGUGCAUGAUGUGUAUGACCUCGGAUGCCUGUGUUGCUGGGGUCAAGAGGCCCAAGGGGACUAUGUUAGGGGGUUUGCAUUCUGGAAGAAGCUCCAGGGUCAGUUACAGAACCUGACCAUGACAUCUUUGGCAUGAGGAGGACCCUCCAGGUGGUCCCAAGAGAGCCAUAUCAAUGCUGGCUGACCCUACUCUGCCCUUCUUACCACAUACCACACUGGGUCCAGUUCAGAUUGAGUUAGUCUUUGGACUUCUACACCCUCUCACUGUGUCUGCCCCACUAUGACCUGAAUCAUGAUUGAUCCUAGAUCAUCUGGGGUAAGGAGCAGUAUCAGUCAGGAUAGGCGAGGUUAUCCUGCUGUAACAACCCACGUCUUGGUGACUUAAAACCACAAAGGUUCUGUGGAAAACAGUAUGGAAGUUCUUCACAAAAAUAAACAUGUAAGUAUCAUACAAUCCGGCAAUCCCACUUCAGUUGAUAGCAGAGACUCAAACAGACAUUUGUACGCUAGCGUUCAUAGUAGCCAUUAUUCAUACCAGCCAUGAAGAUGACCCAAAUGUUUAUCACCUGGUGAGUGGAUACAUAAAAUGGGGCAUGUGUGUGCAACAGAAUAUUAUUCAGACUAAAAAGGAAGGAAAUUCUGACACAUGCUACAGCCUGGAUGAACCUUGAUGUUAUGCUAAGUGAAAUAAGUCAGGCACAAAAGGAUAAAUAUUGUCUGAUUCCACUUAUAUGAGGCAGAAAGAAUAGUGGUUGCCAGGGCUGUGGGGGUAGAAGAGUGGACAGUUAGUGUUUAAUGGGUACAGAAUUUCAGUUUGGGAUGAUUUAAAAGUUCUGGGGAUGGAUGUUGGUGAUGGUUGAACAAUUUAUGAAUGUACGUAAUGCCUCUUAACUAUACACUUACAAAUGGUUACAAUGGUACAUUUCAUGUUAUAUAUAUUUCAGCACAUAAAAAAUAGAGUAUAGUACAAUUAUAAUUAAAUUUAUCAAAUACA